rnacentral:lncRNA from 1 species
GGAUUGAAAACAUACAGAACAACUUUGCAAUGUGCAGAUAUACAGCAGUACUCACCUCAAAUUACAGAAAGUCAUACAACAAGAUCCCUGCUGGUUCCAUGAUACACACAUUCCAUACACAGACACAGACACAUUCCAUACACACACACACAUUCCAUACACGUGCACACACACAUUCCAUACACACAGACACACAUUCCAUACACACAGACACAUAUUCGAUACAUUCCACACACACACACAUUCCAUACACACACAUUCCAUACACACACAUUCCAUACACACACAUUCCAUACACACACAUUCCAUACAUACACACACAUUCCACACACACACAUUCCAUACACAUACACACACAUUCCAUACACGCACACACACAUUCCAUACACACAAACAUUCCAUACACACACACAUUCCAUACACACACACAUUCCAUAUACACACAUUCCAUACACACACAUAGACACACAUUCCAUAUACACACACACAUU